ensembl:lncRNA
UUUUUUUUUUUCUUUUUUUUUGAGACAGAGUCUCAGCUGGGUGCAGUGGCUCACACCUGUAAUCCCAGCUCUUUGAGAGGCCGAAGCGGGCAGAUCACUCGAGGUUAGGAGCUAGAGACCAGCCUGGCCAACAUGGCAAAACCCCGUCCUUACUGAAAGUAAAAAAAUUAGCUGGGUGUGGUAGCACGCACCUGUAAUCCCAAGUACUCCGGAGGCUGAGGUGGAAGAAUUGCUUGAACCUAGGAGGCGGAGGUUGCAGUGAGCCGAGACUCCAUCUCAAAAAAAAAAAAGGAGAGAGACAGACAGAGUCUCACUCUGCUUCUAGGCUGGAGUGCAGUGCUGUGAUCUCAGCUCACUGCAGCCUCCGCCUCCUGGGCUCGUGCAAUUCUCCGGCCUCAACGUCCCAAGUACCUGGAACGACGGGCACAUGCCGCCAUGCCUGGUUAAUUUAUUAUUUUUUGUAGAGACGUGGUUUCGCCAUGUUGUCCAGGCUGGUCUCAAACUCUUGAGCUCGAGCUAUCCUCCUGCCUUGGCCUCCCAAAGUGCUGGGAUUACAGGCAUGAGCCACCGUGCCGGCAACUAGCCAAUUUUUAAAAAAUUACAUUUUCUAGAGGUGUCAUUUUUACUGGGAAAAACACAGUGACACCAUUCAAGAAAAAAUUGAACAGUAACUUUAAUCACUACAUUAACACAAUUUUAAAGGUUGAUCUGCAACAUAUAUACCUUUUAAAGAAUGUUUUCAUCAUAUGUAGGCAGUUUUGUUUCGUUUUUGUUUUUGUUUUUGUUUUGAGGCAGAGUCUUGCUCUGUCACCAAGGCUGGAGUGCAGUGGUGUGAUCUCGGCUCACUGCAACCUCUGCCUCCCGGGUUCAAGUGAUUCUCCUGCCUCAGCUUCCCAAGUAGCUGGGACUACAGGUGUGUGCCACCACACCCAGCUAAUUUUUGUAUUUUUCGUACACAAGGGGUCUCACCAUGUUGGUCAGGCUGGUCUCGAACUUCUGACCUCAUGAUCCACCCGCCUUGGCCUCCCAAAGUGUUGGAAUUACAGGCGUGAGCCACCGCGCCCGGUCAUAGGCAGCUUUUAAAAGAACACAUGUGCAGCCUGGCCAUCAUGGUGAAACCCGUCUCUACGAAAAAUACAAAAGUUAGCUGAGCGUGGUGGCACCUGCCUGUAAUCCCACUUGCUUAGGAGGCUGAGGAGGGAGGAUCGCUUGAGCCCUGGAAACGGAGGCUGCCGUCCAGCCUGGGCGACAAAACAAGACUCUGUCUCGAAUAGAAAACAAAAUAACAACAACAACAACAACAACAAACCAUGUGUGAUUCCAAGCAAAUCAGAGAAUCUCUAGGCACCAGAAAAACCUCGAGGCAUGCGCUGAAAGGAAGAGGUCAGAAUUCUCCGCGAGGAGCUCAGAGGAUUCUGAGGGAAGAGAGAAGGCGGUUGCGCCUGGACACAGCUCUGAGCUCGUGCUCCCUCCUUCAGGCACGAAGUCUUGAGUUGCUAGAAAAUGGAUCUGUCACUGGGCCUUGCUCUGCCAGGACCUGUAGAGCUGGGGGCCUCUCUGCGGCGAGCCCAGCAGUUUGACUGCUCUGAGGCGCCCUAGGGCUGAGGGAGGGGCCGCGACACCAGCCCCGCCCCGAAGCCACCUGGGAAAAGGAAGCAGAAAAAGGAGAAGCA